rnacentral:piRNA from 1 species
UCACAAAGAUAAAACAAUACAGGUGUUGCC